rnacentral:misc_RNA from 1 species
CUUCUGCUUUGUAAUUAUAAUUAUGUCGGCUAAAUUGGUAAAUUCAGGCUGCAGCUGCAGGUUGAGGUUGAAAACAUGAAAAACGACAUGGCUUUGGCAUCCCACCAAAUAAGGGAAGAUGUUAACUGCGCAGUUGAGACUCGGUUGGCCUUGUUCUGUUUCAUUUUCAUUCUCUUCAAUCAGGCGGUUAUUACCACGCCCCCUUCCCUCGUUUGCUUCGCCUCUGUUUCUCCCCUUAUACUCUUGUUCAUUUCUGCCUGUUUCCCUCACUUUCGCUUUGCUUUCUCAGCUCUUUCUUACUCUGAGAAAGCACAAUGACUUCUGCUUUCUCUGCCACCAAGUUCACU